AGUUUUCCCCAGGACCCUGCCUCUCUUCCCCCACCUGCAGGGCCUCCCCAGGGCCUCCAGGCCUGGCCCAGGGGAGCUCUGGGAGGAAGUUUUCCCCAGGACCCUGCCUCUCUUGCCCCACUGGAGCCUGGCUGUUUGUCCUGGGGAGGACAUUGAGCUUCCGCAGCCUGGAUCCAACCCCAGCUCCGCCCUGGGCCCCAUACACACUGCAGGGUCUAGUGCCUCUGAAUCCAUCUGCAGUGGCUGGAACCCCAUUCUCCAAAUGUUCACCCCAGCAUUCUGAGGCCAGGACUGGGCUGCUUUACACUUCAGAAAGGCAUGUCGGGGCUGGGAGAAAGCAGACCUGCCAUCUGGAAAAGCUGCCCCAGGCCUGUCCCCACCUGAAGCCACGGUGCGCUGCAUGCACCUCAGCCUUGCAUCUUGCAGCGUGUCUACAAUCUUCAUUCCCAACAACCUUCCUUCCUGAGCCUGGUAAUCCCCGCCCUCUUCUGUAGCACCAGGUACCCUAGCAGAGCCCCUGUGUCCCGUGUCUGUCCAGUGCCUGCAAAAAGAGAACCAUGGGACAAAACCCCCAUUGCACAGAUGAGGAGGCCAGCCAGAGAAGGGAGCAUUGACCUGGGUCACCCGAGAGUCGAUGGCAGCCCUUCCCACCUGCAUUGUGUGGUGUUUUGAUCUCCUGGAGGGCAGCUUACAAUCCCAGACUCUCCAAGCGACAGAGAGGGCCCGUUCUGUCCAAGUCCACAUGCCACCCAAUUUACAGAUGAGGAUGCUGAGGUCUGGAAAGAUGAGGUGACUUUCCAGAUGGCUCAAAGAGGAGCAAUGGAGUGACUGGGGAGGAAUGAUCGGUUAAUCAAGAGGAGAUAAGGGAGAGAGAUUUGGAUACAGAGACACAGACCUUCAAGGAAAAGGCCAUGUGACCACAGAGGCAGAGACUGGAGUGAUGCAUCUAGAAGCCAAGGACCACCAAGGAUUGCAGAAAGCAUGAGAAGCUGAAAGAGACAGGCAAGGAUUCCCUCCUAGAGCCUUCAGAAAGAGCAUAGCCCUGCAGACAUCUUGAUUUCAGACUUCAAGCCUCC